rnacentral:rRNA from 1 species
AUUGAACGCUGGCGGCAGGCCUCACACAUGCAAGUCGAGCGAGCGGCGGACGGGUGAGUAAUGUCUGGGAAACUGCCUGAUGGCGGGGGAUAACUACUGGAAACGGUAGCUAAUACCGCAUACCAUCAGAUGUGCCCAGAUGGGAUUAGCUAGUAGGGUGGGUAAUGGCUCACCUAGGCGACGAUCCCUAGCUGGUCUGCGAGGCUGACCAGCCACACGGGAACUGAGACACGGUCCAGACGCGUACGUGAGGCAGCAGUGGGGAAUAUUGCACAAUGGGCGCAAGCCUGAUGUAGCAAUGCCGCGUGUAUGAAGAAGGCCGUCGGGUUGUAAAGUACUUUCAGCGGGGAGGCGUUACCCGCAGAAGAAGCACCGGCUAACGCCGGGCCAGCAGCCGCGGUAAUUC